rnacentral:rRNA from 1 species
CCAGACUCCUACGGGAGGCAGCAGUGGGGAAUAUUGGGCAAUGGGCGCAAGCCUGACCCAGCAACGCCGCGUGAAGGAAGAAGGCUUUCGGGUUGUAAACUUCUUUUGACAGGGAAGAGUAGAAGACGGUACCUGUCGAAUAAGCCACGGCUAACUACGUGCCAGCAGCCGCGGUAAUACGGAGGAUGCGAGCGUUAUCCGGAUUUAUUGGGUUUAAAGGGUGCGUAGGCGGGCAGUCAAGUCAGCGGUAAAAAUGCGGUGCUCAACGCCGUACAGCCGUUGAAACUGGCAGUCUUGAGUGGGCGAGAAGUAUGCGGAAUGCGUGGUGUAGCGGUGAAAUGCAUAGAUAUCACGCAGAACUCCGAUUGCGAAGGCAGCAUACCGGCGCCCGACUGACGCUGAGGCACGAAAGCGUGGGUAUCGAACAGGAUUAGAUACCCCAGUA